rnacentral:rRNA from 1 species
CAGUCGCCGCGGUAAUACAGAGGGUGCAAGCGUUAAUCGGAAUUACUGGGCGUAAAGCGCGCGUAGGUGGUUCGCCAAGUUGGAUGUGAAAUCCCCGGGCUCAACCUGGGAACUGCAUCCAAAACUGGCGAGCUAGAGUAUGGUAGAGGGUGGUGGAAUUUCCUGUGUAGCGGUGAAAUGCGUAGAUAUAGGAAGGAACAUCAGUGGCGAAGGCGACCACCUGGACUGAUACUGGCACUGAGGUGCGAAAGCGUGGGGAGCAAACAGGAUUAGAUACCCGUGUAGUCCCUGUCUCUUAUAA